GUCUCCCCAUCUCCCUGUCCCUGUCUCGCUGCCCACCUGUCUUGCUGUCUCCGUGGCUGUCCUGGAGGAGGGAGGGACGGCAUACACAACACAUCAGGGCUGACCUAAUUCACUAAAAUGAUUCAUCAGGUGUGAACUAAUUCAUUAAAAUGAUUAAUCAGCUGUGAACUAAUGAUCUAAACUGAUUAAUCAGCUGUGAACUAAUGAUCUAAACUGAUUAAAUGUGAAGCUGAAGGAUGUUUUUUCACCUGACGGAGGUGUUUAACAUCAAGGAUGUGUGUUUUAAGGUGAAGGAGUUUUUUUAAGGUGAAGGAGAUGUAUUAAAGAGAAGGUGUUUUAAGGUGAAGGAGGUGUUCUAAGGUGAAGGAGGUGUUCGAAGGUGAAGGAUGUCUAUUAAGGUGAAGGAUGUCUAUUAAGGUGAAGGAGGUGUUUUAAGGUGAAGGAGGUGUUUUAAGGUGAAGGAGGUGUUCUAAGGUGAAGGAGGUGUUCUAAGGUGAAGGAGGUGUUUUAAGGUGAAGGAGGUGUUUUAAGGUGAAGGACGUGUUUUAAGGUGAAGGACGUGUUUUAAGGUGAAGGAGGUGUUUUAAGGUGAAGGACGUGUUUUAAGGUGAAGGAGGUGUUCUAAGGUGAAGGAGGUGUAUUAAGGUGAAGGAGGUGUUUUAAGGUGAAGGACGUGUUUUAAGGUGAAG
ensembl:lncRNA